UAGGAAGAGCAGCUGAGGGCUGGCCUCAUGGCCUGGUGGUUAGGUUCGGCGUGGUCUGCUUUGGCAGCCCGGGUUCAUGGGUUCGGAUCCUGGGCAA